CCCCUCAUUCGAUCCAGAUACCUAGUUCCAUCAUUUCCACGGUUAUAAUUGCUUGCAGACAGAUGCUUUGUACCAUGUCCUGAUUCAGAGCUCUGGCCUUUCACAUUGUCGUUCCCAGACUUUUGAUGUUCCCGACGGUCAGCUUCACUCUUCUUCUCAUAGUCCUGCUUCCGCUCGCUUUCCUUAUCAGCUUUCUUUUCCAUCUCUUCAGCAUCAGAAUUACUCUUACUUGAACCCUUGUCUUUUUCUUUCCUUCUUUCCUGACGCCUCUUCUCUGCU
rnacentral:misc_RNA from 1 species